CAGUAGCCGCGGUAAUACGAAGGGGGCUAGCGUUGCUCGGAAUGACUGGGCGUAAAGGGCGCGUAGGCGGAUUGCGCAGUCAGAUGUGAAAUUCCUGGGCUUAACCUGGGGGCUGCAUUUGAGACGCGUAGUCUAGAGUGUGAAAGAGGGUCGUGGAAUUCCCAGUGUAGAGGUGAAAUUCGUAGAUAUUGGGAAGAACACCGGUGGCGAAGGCGGCGACCUGGUUCAUAACUGACGCUGAGGCACGAAAGCGUGGGGAGCAAACAGGAUUAGAUACCCCCGUAGUCCCUGUCUCUUAUAC
rnacentral:rRNA from 1 species